AUCAACUCGGAAGGGAUUGGUGGGAGGCUAGCGAGGAGGAACCAGAGGUAAAGAAAGAGAUGGGAGGGAGAGAAUGAGAAAAAAAGUGAGAAUAAAAGAAAUAAAGCGUUUUGACUGAGAGAAGGUGAAAAGCGGUGUGGAUCGAAAAUGAAGUUGCAGGAGAAGGAGAUGAAGAAAGAAGAGGAAAAGAGAAAGAGGGGGGGGGGAGAAAAAGAGAGAGAGGGAGAAGGUGGAGGGAAAGAGUGGCGGGCGGGCAAAAAGAGAGUGAAAGUGAGGGGGGUAUAUAUAUAUAUAGAGGGGAAGGGAAGG
rnacentral:lncRNA from 1 species